rnacentral:misc_RNA from 1 species
UGAACUCUCAAAGUUCUUUUCCCUUGAUUGGGUCAGGAUACUUUGGAUCAUGGGUGCUUGCGGGCUUUGGCUUGCUCACCUUGAAUGGAAUGUGGCAUUCUUCUCUGAAGCUGCUGCUGGGUUUGACCUGGAGUGAUAGAAGUCUUUCGAGAUCUCUAGGGAACUGUCUUUUUGAUGGUGCCUGCUGUGGUGGGAGUGAGUGUCUUUCAGACUUAUUUGACGA